CCUCCUUAUACGAUUUAGAACUUAUUUGUUCGUAGUGUCCACACAGAUGAUUGUUAGUUAGUUUCACCUUUGGGUUUAACUGAUUAAUAUGCUCUUUAAAAAUUUGGAAAAGCUGAUAAUAAAAUUCGUAUGAAUACAGUGUAUUUGUACAGAGUUUUCAAAAGUAAAAAAGAAUGAUAGCAGUAUCACUCAGUGCCAUUUAAUAGACGUUUCGUUUGUUGAUUGGUAUCUACUUUAGUAUUCAAUAUUAACUUCUGGCGAAGUUAAACUGUCACAAAACAAAGACCCGUUUGGGUUGUAUGGUUAAGUGACUAAGCGUACACGGUGGAUGC
rnacentral:misc_RNA from 1 species